rnacentral:lncRNA from 1 species
AAGCCUUCUCAUUAUCACAACCCAAAGCCAUGGCCAUUCUGGGUUGCCAAAAAGACAUGCACCUCUUUUCAUACUUGGGGAUUCAGUCUUUGAGGCUGGAAAUAAUAACUACUUUAACACUACAGCCCGGGCAAAUUAUAAGCCAUAUGGUGAAACCUACUUUAAGUACCCAACUGGGAGAUUUUCUGAUGGUCGUCAAGUUCCAGAUUUUAUUGGUAAGAUAUGAAUCUUUUUAUUUUUUAAAUUUAUAUUUUUAUAAAGAUAUAUAAAUAUAUAUAUAUGAAAUAUGACUAGACAUUACUUUAUAUUGUUGCAGCUCAGUAUGCAAAGUUGCCACUGAUUCCACCAUAUCUACAGCCCGAUUUGCAUGAUCUUUCAUAUGGUGUCAACUUUGCAUCUGCAGGAUCUGGUGCUUUGGAUGGAACUCGCCAAGGCUCGGUAUGUGACAUAUUUGUUUCUGCAGGAUCUGGUUACGACUAUUGACAUAAUGUGAUUCACUAAUGUAGUACUAACCAACUUCUUGAAAACUAUAUGAUCUCCUGUUCAUAUGGAAAUGGUUACUUACUAUUUUUCAUAUAAAAUACAUCAACUACUUCUCUUUGAGAUGGAAAUCAUCGCUUUGAACCUUGUUUCAGGUGAUAAGCCUUAAAACUCAACUGUCAAAUUUCAAGAUCGUCAGGAAGUCGUUGAGGAAAAAACUAGGCGAUGAAAAAGCCAAAUCUCUGCUAUCAAGAGCUGUUUACUUUUUUAAUACUGGAAGCAACGAUUACCUUUUCGCAUUCGACACAGACCCAACUGUGCUCGGAUCCUACUCUCAACAGGAAUAUGUAGACCUGGUGAUAGGCAACAUGACUGCAGUGGUCGAAGUAAUGAAAUCUUAGCACUUCAAAAAAAAAUGAAAAGAAAAUCCUUUUAUGCAUAUUACUAAUAAACAUUAUUAAUUUCGAUGUCUUCUUUUAGGGAAUCUAUAAAAGAGGAGGAAGAAAUUUUGCUCUGCUUGACCUCUGGCCUAUGGCUUGUCUUCCAUACGGAAGAGGAACACUUCAAAAAAAAGGUGCUUGCUUUGAUACGAUUACACCAUAUGUGACGCUACACAACAAAGGACUUGCCAAUGCCCUACAAAAGCUGGAGAAGAAACUCAAGGGAUUCAGAUACUCAUUCAUCAGUGCUAAUGAGUUUUUGACAAAAAGAAUGAACAACCCUUCUAAAUAUGGUAUUAAUUCCUUCGUUAUACAUGGUUUUGAUGUCAUUAAUUAUGUUAAUUACAAUUUAUUUAAGCGACCAUGUUUUUGUUUUGUGAUAAAAUUUUUGGAAAAUUGUAAGGUUUCGUGGAAGGAAAGGUGGCAUGCUGUGGAAGUGGUCCAUAUGGAGGAAUUUUUAACUGUGGAGGAAUGAAGAUUUCAAAAAAGUAUAAUUUAUGCAAGAAUGUUAGUGAAUAUGUCUUCUUUGAUUCUUCUCAUCCAACCGAGAGGGUCUAUGAACAGUUUGCCAAGAAAAUAUGGAGUGGAAAUUCCAUCACUGCGCCUUACAAUCUGAAAGCACUAUUUGAAAAUUAGCUAAGUAAGGGGAUGAUCCGAUAGUCAGUAUGCAAAUAAUUUGUACUUUUUGAAAGAGAGGCAACAAUUCAUAUGUGAAGCUUUGUCUCAAAAUAAGAUGCAGCCUUUGUAUUGAAUAUUAUAAUUGUGUGGUGGUGGAAGGAGAGCCAACAAAUAAACAUUAUUUCAUAUGGUAACGUUUUGUUAACUUUGUCUCAAAAGGUGCAGAGCCUUAUGGAUGGGCCUGUCAUCUGUGUCUUUGCUACAUAUAUCUAGCUGGGCACCAUGCUUUUGGUUUUGGAGAGAUUCUGGGGAUAGUAAAUUAUUAUCCCUAGCUAAUAAUGCAAUAAUAGGUGGAAUAAUUUUUUCACUUCCUGCUAUAAAUUUUUUUUUCCAUGCGUAUCAAGUGCACCUCAACUCUAUGCAAUAACGCAGAAUUUAACACAAAUAAUUAUCUAAACUACUCUAAAUUAAUUUGAGAGAUUCGAACUUUAAGUGCAAAAUGGUUGGCUCACUGCACUGGCCACUGGCAUUACCCCACGAGACCACAUCUGCUAAAUAUAUCUUCAAUUUUUAAAGAAUGAAGGACAUAAGCUAAAUACAAACACAUAGAAUGCAAUGAAAAAGAAAAGUUCUUUGAAUCAAAUCUGAAUAAUUGUAAUCAAUCCCAAAAUAGCAUUAAUUAGUCAUUACACUUCCCACAUCAAAUCCAAUCGAGAUCUUUUGACAGAGGUGGAGGAUUCUUUUUGAUGGAAGCAACAAGCUUGAAAGUAUAGGAUUUUAAUUCCAUAGUUUAUUAGCCUUUUUAAAUUUUUUUUUUUUUUUUUUUGGUUCUCUCAACAACGUGGCUGUGGAUCUCAUCACAGUAUUUAAUUAGCCAUGUGUUCCAGCAGGUCGUUAUUGCAAACCUGAUUAAUUAGUAUUUAUAUGGACUUAUCAUUUUGGACAUCAGAAGUUGUGAUGAUAAUGUAAACGGGAGAUAUAGUUGUUUACUUGUUUUGGGCGGCACAUUUUAUUUUAUGCACUGCCUUGAGAUGCCCCUAUAAAUAUCAACUGAAGCUGGAUGAGGUGAAGAUGCAUCUAAUCUAAUAGAUAGAAAUGGCAAAUAUCCAAGUCUUUGUCUUUGCCUUAUGUACAAGCCUUCUCAUUAUCACAACCCAAAGCCAUGGCCAUUCUGGGUUGCCAAAAACACAUGCACCCCUUUUCGUAUUUGGGGAUUCAGUCUUUGAGGUUGGAAAUAAUAACUACUUUAAUACUAGUUGGCAGGCAAAUUACUCGCCAUAUGGUGAAACCUUCUUUAAGUACCCAACUGGGAGAUUUUCUGAUGGUCGUCAAGUUCCAGAUUUUAUUGGUACGUAGAAAAUUUGAUAUGAGUGUUUUUUUUAUAUAAAUAUAUCUGAAAUAUUACUAGACAAUUUUAUUGUUGCAUUGCAGCUGAGUAUGCGAAGUUGCCAUUGAUUCCACCAUAUCUACAGCCCGACAAUCAUGAAUUUUCAUAUGGUAUCAACUUUGCAUCUGCUGGAGCUGGUGCUAUGGUUGAAACUCGCCAAGGUGCGGUAUGUAACGUGUUUUUGCAAGAAUCUGGGUGCAUCUUAAGUUAAAGUUGUCGAAAAGACAGGUUUUCUGAGUUUAAGAGAGUUGAGCGAUUCGAGUUUAAUAUUUAGGGUUCACGGUAUUGCUAAUUGACACAUAAGUCUACCGAGCACAUAAUGCGAUUUGCUAAUGUGUAGUACUGACUUCUUGAAAAUUAUGAUCUCCUGUCCAUAUGAAAAUGGUUACUUAUUAGGUUUACAUCAACUAUUUCUCUCUAUGAUGUAAAUAAUCACUUUGAACCAACCUUGUUUCAGGUGAUAGGCCUUCCUUCUCAACUGUCAAAUUUCAAGAUCGUUAGGAAGUCCUUGAGGAAGAAACUGGGCAAUGAAGAAGCCAAAUCUCUGCUAUCAAGAGCUGUUUACUUUUUUAGUAUUGGAAGCAACGAUUACAUUUUCCCGUUCGACACGGACCCAAGUGUGCUCGGAUCCUACUCUCAUCAGGAAUAUGUAGACCUGGUGAUAGGCAACAUAACUUCAGUGGUCAAAGUAAAUUCUUAGUCCUUGAAAAGAAAACCCACCACCCCCCCCCUCCCCCCAAAAAAAAAUCCUUUUUAUGCAUAUUAAUUACUAAUUAACAUUACUUUCGAUGUCUUGUGUUAGGGAAUCUAUAAGAAAGGAGGAAGAAAUUUUGCGUUGCUUAACCUCUGGCCUAUUGCUUGUCUUCCAUACGCAAGAGCACUUAAAACGGAAAAAAAAGGUGCUUGCUUUGAUGAGUUUACACCAUUUGUGAAACUACACAACAAAGCACUUGCCAAAGCCCUACAGAAGCUGGAGAAGAAACUCAAGGGAUUCAGAUACUCAAUCUCCGAUUUUAACGAAUUUUUGACACAGAGAAUGAACCACCCAUCUAAAUAUGGUAUUAAUUCCAUCUAUAUAUAUAUGCUUUGUUUUCUUAAUGAUCUUAUUCAUUAUACAUGGUUUUGAUAUCAUUAUACUAAAGCAACUUUGUUUUUGUUUUGUGAUAAAUUGUUGGAAAAUUGUAAGGUUUCGUGGAAGGGGAGGCGGCAUGCUGUGGAAGUGGUGUAUAUGGAGGAAUUUAUAACUGUGGAGGAAAGAGGAUUGCCAAAGAGUAUAAUUUAUGCAAGAAUGUUAGUGAAUAUGUCUUCUAUGACUCUGCUCAUCCAACCGACAGGGUCUACGAACAGUUUGCCAAGCAAAUAUGGAGUGGAAAUUCCAUCACCACGCCUUACAAUCUGAAAGCACUAUUUGAAACUUAG